UACGGGGGGGGCAAGCGUUGUUCGGAAUUACUGGGCGUAAAGGGCUCGUAGGCGGCCAACUAAGUCGGACGUGAAAUCCCUCGGCUCAACCGGGGAACUGCGUCCGAUACUGGAUGGCUUGAAUCCGGGAGAGGGAUGCGGAAUUCCUGGUGUAGCGGUGGAAUGCGCAGAUAUCAGGAGGAAGACCAGUGGCGAAGGCGGGUCUCUGGACAGUUCCAUGACGCUGAGGCACGAAGGUCAGGGAGGCAAACGGG
rnacentral:rRNA from 1 species